AUCAGCGAACGGAGCUACCGGAGAGCAAAGGACCCACCAUGCCUAUCUGAUAAAUCCAAAAUCCUUAAGAGAGUAAGAUAACACACCUAAGGUAGAUACCAGCGCUUCGCAAGCAUCCCUUCCUGCCUCGUUUUCAAUCUCACAGGAGUAGUGCCCUGCGUCUCCCUUUGUGCUGCUCAGAAUUUCCAGGAUGCAGGUUUUCUCUGUGGUGACAAUGCUGCAUCUUUCAGACGGAGUUAUGCUGACACCAUCUUUUUUCCAGGUGACAGAAAUUGGGAGUGUUCCAGUGUAGGUGCCCUCCAGAAUGACAGACUUCCCAGGUUCUACAGAGUGAUCACUUAGUUUCUUCACAAACGUGGCUGGCUCUGCCAGGUGACUUCCAAUGGCGUUGUCCCCAUGACUUCGCACUCCAGCUCCACAUCACUGUCCUUUACCACCUCCACAGGCUCCAGCUCCCUGAUAAAGGUGGGAGGCUCUACAGAGUCAAAAGGAAGACAGAGAGCGGCUUAGCUCAAGAGAAGCCCUGGGGCCAGCAGACAGCCCCGCUGAAACACAAAGCAGAGGCCCUCACGAACCUUUCACUUUCAGCUCGAUGCUGCAGCUCGCGGUGCCUGCGUCAUUUCGCGCUUCACAGACGUUCUGCAGAAAACAAAGGACAGAUGUGGGCUGUGAAGUGCCCUGCUGAGAGGCCUUUAAUCUGCAUUUUUUUUUCCCCUCUAACCUAAGGCAGUUUUCUGAACCGACCUUUGACUGAGAGCAAUGCAGAACACCUUUGUAUGCCUGCAUCGUUUUUGGCUUGACAGACAUAUUUCCCAUCAUGCUUGACCUCAAUACCACUCAGGUAGAGACUAGCCACGUUGUUCUCAAAAGUCAUCCUUAUGUUGUCGUCCUCAGUGAUCUCAUCAUUGUCUUUUAACCAAGUCACUGUGAUUGGCAAGGAGCCUUUCAGCGUGGCCUGGAAGGCGGCUGUGCCUCCACGGAGGGAGCUGGUGGUCUCGAUCUUCUUAGUGAAGGAUGGGGGUUCUAUCAGAAGAAGGAGUUCUCAAUCAGUACCUGCUCUACAGCAAAGCUGCAGCUACACACUUAAGACUGGUCUGUGGAGAAGAGCCCGUCCGUCAGCUAAGCCCACACUGACCUCUUAAUGUCACCCUCGCACUGCAGGUGCUGCUGCCCACCUCGUUGGUCACCCGGCACUGGUAUUCACCCGCAUCUGCAGCUACAAACUUGAGAAUCUGCAGACUAACCAGCUGAUCCUGAAUGAAGGUUUUGUAUUUCCUACCACUGCGCAGGGUCGUGUUGUCUUUGAACCAAGUAAUCUCAAAGGGAGGGGUGCCUGCCACCUCGGCCAGCAACAUGACAUCGUACUCCUUCAGUACUUCAAUGGGCUUAAACUCCUUGGUAAAGUAGGGUGACUCUACAGUAGAAGAGAAUGGCUUGCGUUAAUGGGCGGGGAUCUGUGCUACGGGCCAAAAGCUUGGUCACGUGGAGAUACAGCGAGAACAAACCUUUGACUAUCACAAUGCUAGUGCAGUGGUCGCUACCAGCUUCAUUUUGAGCUUCACACAUGUAUUCACCACUGUCUUCAAUGGCCACAUCUGUAAGCUUUAAAACGGCUGUGGACUCCACAAAAGACAUUUUGUGUUUGCUGCUCUCUCUCAGUUCUCUGUCAUUCGCAAACCAUGUUAUUUUAAUUGGCGGGGUGCCCGUGACUUUACAGGCCAGCUGAGUGGCAUCUCCCUUCUUUAACAGUUGGGACAGCUCUAACUUUUCAAUGAACGUAGCAGGCUCUGUGGAAGGGAGGGAGUUAUUAAGAAACAGCAGAAAGAAUAAAAGAACGUAUGUAAAAAGGGUCACACAAAGGUGUCAAGAGAAGACUGCAAACCUUUCACAAACAAGUUUGCACUGCACUCCACACUUCCGGCCACGUUGCUGACUUUGCACGUGUAUGUGCCUGAAUCCGAGGUUUUUACCGCAUAGAGUUCCAGGGAACUCUCUAAAGCGUCUUUGGUAAUGUAGCAGCUUCCACCAGAAACCAGCUCUUUGUCACCCUUAAACCAUCUGAUGGUGAGAGGAGUGGAUCCUUGGAAAGUGCUCUUCAGGCAGACUGCCGAGCCGGGCAGGACAUCCCUGGACCCUGGCUUAAUGACAAAGCUGGGUGGUUCUGAAGAAGAGGCAGAAGAUAGAAGUCGAAGGAGUUACAAGUCUGGACCCAAGGGAAGUAGACUUGAUUUGAAUAUUGGGAAAGUAGACAACAAAGCUCCUAGCCAACCUUGCACAAUCAGGGCUCCGCUGCUGUCUUUGCUCCCCACGGAAUUUGUGGCCCGACAGGUGAAAUUCCCUGCAUCGUUCAUGUCUACCCUGCUGAUCUCCAAAGAGGCCGUGCCUUCCACAAAUGCCAUCUGGUAUCUGUCAGAAGCCGUGAUUUCCUUGCCAUCCUUAAACCAGGACACCCGCAUGGGGAGGGAACCAGCGAUUUUGCAGUCUAACCUGCAGGUACCGCUCACAACACUGUCCAGGUUGCGUAAGGGUUUGGUGAAAAAUGGAGCAAUGUCCCGAUCUGUUUGUGGCGGAAGAGAGAAAAUAAGAUCAACAUGGCCAACUGCUCAGUGGUUUAUCUUUGGGUGCUUUUGUUGCGCUUUUAGAGAGAGAUGGAGUUUUCUAAAAAUACUAACCUAACACAGUAAACGUGGUCUCGCAGGAACUGCUGCCCACUUCAUUGGAAAUCUCAAAUGUGUACUGGCCACUGUCAUGCAGUUCAGCCGAAUAAAACUUCAGCUGGGCAAUGUUGUUUUUAAAA